AAAAACAGGAAGCAAGACCAGUCUAAUGGCAUAAUUAGAUAUAGUUUGGUUUUGGAGAACACGAUAAAUGUUGAAAAAACCAAGAGGAAGGUACUUUAAUGAUCGUUGGCAUAAAUGCCUGAAGAGAAUUACUUAAUCACCAACUGAAAUUUAACUUUACCAUUUUUAAAACCAUGAUUCAUCAUUCUUAGUUGAAAAUCUAUAGCUGAGAUCCACGAGAGAUCCUUUUGAGGGCAACAUUUUCUAGUUCUAUCACUUUGUGUUAUUUGCAGAACCUACACUGUGUGAGAGAGUUUCAAAAAGACCAUGCUUCUAAAAACAGAAGAAGGGCUACUUCAGUGAAAAAAAUCAAAGCACACCUAGCAGAGGGUCCAAAACAUCAUUAUGAAUAGGGAGAUAAAGUAACCAAAGUCACAACAACAGAGAGCAGGAUCUUGUGCAAGUGAGGAGUUCUGAACCUUCACUUUCAAUAGCUUCAUGGAAAACUAUGGUUGGUGGUUUAUUCCGUUGUGCCCUCUUGUUUCUGUCCAUGCAGGUACUGGUGUGGGCAGCUCUCUCAGUUACUUCUGCAACUUCCACCUCUUCUCUUCCCCACCUGAGAGGCCCUGUAAAGAUUUGGCUGAUCUUGUGCUUUUCUGGAGCUCUCAGAAAUUUAGCAGAGUUGUGACAUGCUCCAUUCUCUGUGCUUUUCUACGGAUCAGGAAAAAGUCAUACUACUUUACUUUCAAUGCUGGAGACAUCUGAAUAUGAUAGGAGGCCAACAACUUGCAUUUGGACCAUCUACCUAGACAUACCGUGCUAACAUUUCUUCUACUCUGGUCUGAUGGUGCCCUUAGAGGAACUUGGGACUCUUGCAAUUUCUUUGCUAACUGCAGUAUAAAGGCACAGGUGCACUGGAUCUUCAGGCCUCCAAGAUUUUAAAAAAUUAUUUCGUUAGUUAGGCUAAUCUAAAAAUCCGAAGAAUAUGGGGCAUAAGAAUCUCUCCCGUCACCGAGGCCUUCCCUUGGGGGUAAAGAUUCGACUUCUGAAGCCUCAUUCUACUUCUUAACAUCCAUGUAACCUGGGACAGGUACCUUAUUUCAGGUCUGUGUAAGGUUUUUUAUAGUACCACAGUACAGCUUUAUAAAAUGUGUAUGACCAUAGCAUGUACCUCCUUGUGUUUUACAGAGGAUUAAAUGAAAUAAUGUAAGAUACUUUAAAAACUCAAUAUUAUAGAGUAAA